GUGCUCGCUUCGGCAGCACAUAUACUAAAAUUGGAACGAUACAGAGAAGAUUAGCAAAUUCGUGAAGCAUUCCAUAUUUUU
ensembl:snRNA U6 U6 spliceosomal RNA